AGCAGCCGCGGUAAUUCCAGCUCCAAUAGCGUAUAUUAAAGUUGUUGCAGUUAAAAAGCUCGUAGUUGAAUUUCGGGAUCAAUAUAUCGGUCGUGCCCCUGUACGUACUGGUAUCAUUGAUUUCUCCUUUCUGACGAACAAUGAUGUCAUUAAUUUGGUGUUAUAGGGAGUUAGGACUGUUACUUUGAAAAAAUUAGAGUGUUUAAAGCAGGCAUUAGCUUGAAUACAUUGGCAUGGAAUAAUGAAAUAGGACGUUUGACCUUAUUUUGUUGGUUUCUAGGAUCGACGUAAUGAUUAAUAGGGAUAGUUGGGGGCAUUAGUAUUCAAUUGCCAGAGGUGAAAUUCUUGGAUUUAUUGAAGACUAACUACUGCGAAAGCAUUUGCCAAGGAUGUUUUCAUUAAUCAAGAACGAAAGUUAGGGGAUCGAAGACGAUCAGAUACCGUCGUAGUCUUAACCAUAAACUAUGCCGACUAGGGAUUGGAUGAUGUUAAUUUUUAAUGACUCAUUCGGCGCCUUACG
rnacentral:rRNA from 1 species